rnacentral:rRNA from 1 species
CUUCCAGACUCCUACGGGAGGCAGCAGUGAGGAAUAUUGGUCAAUGGCCGGAAGGCUGAACCAGCCAAGCCGCGUGAAGGACGAAGGUGCCAAGCAUUGUAAACUUCUUUUGUCAAGGGACAAAAUCAGGCUCGAGAGCCUGACCGAGGGUACUUGAAGAAAAAGCAUCGGCUAACUCCGUGCCAGCAGCCGCGGUAAUACGGAGGAUGCGAGCGUUAUCCGGAUUUAUUGGGUUUAAAGGGUGCGUAGGCGGGCUGUUAAGUCAGCGGUAAAAGCCCGGGGCUCAACCUCGCUCCGCCGUUGAAACUGGCGUUCUUGAGUGGGCGAGAAGUAUGCGGAAUGCGUGGUGUAGCGGUGAAAUGCAUAGAUAUCACGCAGAACUCCGAUUGCGAAGGCAGCUUACUAAACUAUAACUGACACUGAAGCACGAAAGCGUGGGGAUCAAACAGGAUUAGAUACCCUGGUAGCU